rnacentral:lncRNA from 8 species
CGACACGAGAGCUGUUGUUAACAUUGGGCGACGAUCUGCCAACCUGCUCGGUGGAUGACAGGUCUUUCCACCAAGCUGUUCCAGGCCUGGAGUGGCAUGCUGGAACUUCCAGAGGCUUGUAGACCUGAAGCAGUGUGGCGUUGUCCAGAUCUGACACCCCUAUUAGCUCAACCACAGUCUUCACAGCUGCAGUCAUCUGCCCCUGCACCUGCUACACCGGCCACGACAGCUGAUACAGGUAAUUAUCACAUGCAUGUAUACACACAUGCACACUCUCCCUCACUUGGGGCUCUAUUCAAUCACAUCCGCUUUAGCCAACGUCCACAUAGCGGUUGUUUUGGCGGUGUCUGAGGUGGAACUGUGUUAGAGCUGUCAAAUUCACAAGCGGCUCCUGGCAUUAUACCUAAAGCGGACAUUGACAUUGGAAGAAACAGAGUUGCAUUAACAGAAAUCUCAUGCAGCCCUGUUUACAAGUUAGAACACUGGAAUUUGAGAUGUAAUCUACACCUCGAUUAGGCUGAUAGAAAUCUUCAUUAUUUAGUUGAAUGAUUUUGAAUUUGAGCGUCUUUAUUUCUAUAUAACCUACACUUUCUCCUUCUGAACUUGUAACGCGAGUAAGACGGGUGUAGUUUUGUGACAAUGAUCAAGAGAUGCUGCUUACUGAUUUGACAGAUCCAAUGCAGUUAUACCUCAGACACCACCAAAACAUCAGCUAUGUUGUCACGACUUCCGCCGAAGUCGAUCCCUCUCCUUGUUCGGGCGGUGUUCGGCGGUCGACGUCACCGACCUUCUAGCCAUCACUGAUCCAUUUUUCAUUUUCCAUUGGUUUUGUCUUGUCUUCCUUCACACCUGGUUCCAAUCCCAUCAAUUACACGUUGUGUAUUUAACCCUCUGUUUCCCCUCAUGUCCUUGUC